CCUGCAACUAAAAACAGAAAUGAAAAUUAACGAGAAAUUUGGUAGGUUUACAAAACUUCUGGCUUACCUCCGUAUCCGAGACCAUGUCCGUAACCCAAACCAUAACCUUUAAAGGUAAGACCGCAAAAUUACAUAACGUUAUUUUUGAAAUUCUCUGAAAUUUAUCGGGAAAAAUUCAAACCUCCGUAACCGGCUCCAUAAAGAGCUCCAUGGCCAGCUCCGUAACCAGCUCCAUAGCCAGCUCCAUAGCCAUAUCCUAGUCCACCAUAUCCAGCACCGUACAGUCCGUUUCCGUACAAUCCAUUUCCAUAGCCCAAGUCCAGCGUAACCGAGUCCACCAUAACCUCCAUACGCUCCGAGGGUACCCUCGGCCGUUUGCAGAUCCUUACCGGUGUCAGAAUCGGUGGCGGCUGCUUGUUGCUCGACGGCUUCAUUUUGCUCUUCGGCGGCCAUGGCAAAAACAAUGCACGCAGCGGCAAUGAAAACCUAUGAAUAAAAUAUUGAGCAAUCAGAAUUUUCACCAUACAGGCGUUUAUAUACUUCAGUGAAAGUCUAAACGAUUGACAGAAAAAUCGCAUUUAAGCAUAGACUGUAUUCACACAACAAAUAGAGUGAAAGGUGUGCAAUUCGGUUUUGUUUUAAAUUUCCACAAAGAUAGGCGAACAACAGAUCUUUUCAUUUGAGUUAGUCGACCGUGUAAGCGUUCGACUAAUAUUGGAUUUAGGGUGGAGAAAAUGACGAUGGGUGAAAGGAAAAAACAGCUGCCAGCCCGUUAGAAAAUAAACUGAAUUGAAGAUCGGAACCUCUAUCAAUAGGUGAUAUGUUUAACAAUCAAAUGAUACAUCGCUCGUGUAUUUCUUAUCCUGUAUUAAGGUAAGAGUAGUCGGAAAUCGACUUAAAAUUCCAGUGGCAGAAAAGUAAUGGUCAACUUCUCUCUGAAGAAUUCGUUGUGAAACUAAUGGAUAUGAAUGGGUGCAAGAAAGGAGGAUAAAUUAUGAUCAACAGAGGAAAAGUUGUUCCUUUACUUAUGUAUUGAAUAAUAACACCGUCGUUACACAAAAAUUGGUGGUGCAAAUGCUUCUAUCGCAUGCGGAUUGACUUUACAUCACCACACAUCUUUUUAGUGGUCUGAAUUGAAUACGAGAGAACAAAUUCUAACGAUUAAGGUAUGCUUCUAUUCCAUUGUAUUCGUGUUCAAUAAGUUCAGUCUACCGUUGUUGAUAUGAGUAAAUAUUACUAUACAGAUCUAUAAAAUGAGUAAUAGGAAUGAUGUUAAUAAGCAAGUCCGUGAUGGCCGUAUCCAUGAGCAUGGCCAUGUCCAAGAGCGUGGGCGUUGCUGUGGCUCUUUGAUCCAUGGCUGAUCACUUUGUUGAUGCUCGUAUAACCGGAAUUGGCGUGGUUGUGUCCGUGGUUGUGUCCAUAGUUGGAUCCGUAACCAGCUCCAUAACCUAUGAUAACACGAUAGCGUUAAAAUACGUCUCCAAUUAAAGGUGAGACCUAAAAUGAGUUUGUUUACCUCCGUAUCCAAGGCCAUGUCCACCAUAACCGAGUCCUAAACCGUAACCUUUUUUUUUAAAUUAACAUAUUAGUUUUAAUGUGAUUUAUUAAAAUUUACAAAGUAUCCAUUUAUGAUUCAAACCUCCGUAACCAGCUCCAUGACCGUAUCCAUGUCCACCAUAUCCAGCGCCAUAAAGUCCGUUACCGUACAAUCCAUUGCCAUAGCCAAGUCCGCCGUAUCCGAGUCCGCCGUAACCAAGUCCACCAUAACCUCCGUACACUCCCAGGGUACCCUCGGCCGUUUGCAGAUCCUUGCCACUUUCGGAGUCAGUGACGGCCACUUGUUGCUCGACGGCUUCCCUUUUGCUCUUCAGCAGCCAUGACGAAAACGAUGCAUGUAACAGCAAUCAAGACCUUUGAGUAGUAAAAGAAAGUUAAAAAAUUAUUAGUAAUUAGCGCAAUGAUUUGUCAUAAUUCUAAUUGGUGAUUAUUUUUACUUUUAGUUGCAAAUGGAUUUACCUUGAAGGCGAUCAUCUUUAAUUGAGAUAGGAGCUUUGUACUGGAACACUUUGAAUUUCAGUUGGAGUGUGAAUUUGACAUCGAUCGUCACUGUUUAUAUACUUUGGUGAAAGCCAUGGUAUUUGACCGAGAAGUCGUGUUAAAGCAUGUCGAAUGGUGAUAAACAAUUACUGUGUAAGCAAAGUGAAAGGUUUACCGAUUGAAUUGAUCAUAGACAUGCACAACAGAGGAGGUAAAUAGGUAAUCCUUUCUUUCGAUGCACUAGACCAUAACAACAUAAUAAGUUUAGUGAUAGUAGCAAGUGAUAGUUAAUUUUAUUUGCAGGAACUCGAUCAAGAUAAAGGAAUAAGUUUUGUUUGAAUACAUCAUUUUCUUUUUUUACGAAAAGAAAAGAGGAUUUUGAGCCGUGCCAUUUGUUGUACUUUUGCCUUUGGCAAUUUUUCAGAAGGUAAGAACGUCAAGGUGUCUUCGUUGCCCAGCCCUUUCUUGUGAUCAUUACCAUUUUACAGAAUACCAAUGAAAAAAUGAUAGAUUCAUGUCAAGUUCAACUAGAAUGAGUACCUUGCACUAGACAAACCUGUUGUAUGGAUUUUGCGAAUAGUGUAGUAUCUUAAUCGGAGCUAUACGUGUAUUAGUAUUAUGCAGUUGCAUGAAUUUCAUUGAAAUCGGUAAAACCAUGAGCAAAUUUUACUACAUGCAAAAUGUUUUUUCCCGGUUAAUUUUCAAAGCAAUGACUAAUCUUUUAUCUAUUUUUAUGAAUUUCAGAUAUCCAAAUAGCCUUCUUAUUAUUCGUGAGGUGACGAGAAAAAACCAAUGCUCUUACGAACAUGAGGAACUGUUUAUUCGUAUAACAACAAAGGUAUAACAAAGGUUAUGUUGAAAGCGUGUUAGUUAAAUAUAUAGCGGUAGUAUAAAUUUGAAAUGAAAAUAAGGUAUAAGCCUAUGGCUAUUGAAUAAGAAAAUUUCAAUUUUGGUUGUGUGAUCACGUUUCUGCGUGCACAAGUCUUUUUUAACUCUAGAAACCAAUAACGACGAACAUCCACAGCUAAACUUGGAUGUUUGUCGUAAAAUCUUUCAAAAGUUAGCAACGUCUAUUAGUCAAAGUAUAAUAUAAAAUAAAAAAGGAUGUUGAUUAUAAGUAAAUUUAAAAAAUGUGAAGAGCAGUAAGACUACGUUAGUUACGACUUGCAAAUAUGCCAAUAGCACUUGAAGUUUGAUUGAAACCUGGCCGUCCUUUUUAACUGAAUAUCAUCACAGAAUAAUUUUCGUGCAAGUCACUAGUUUUAGGCAUUCAGAAAUAUGUGGUUAGGUACUGCGUGUGAAGAUGAAAAGUCGAAUUCUACAAACAGGGAAAUACUGAAAGACAAUUAGAAAAUAGCGAUGUGAUAAUGUAAACGAUAAAUUCAGUUGAUGAAAUUAAUUUUGUGUAGAGUUUACGUUUACUAAUAAAGUU